GAUGAACGCUGGCGGCGUGCCUAAUACAUGCAAGUCGAGCGAACGGACGAGAAGCUUGCUUCUCUGAUGUUAGCGGCGGACGGGUGAGUAACACGUGGAUAACCUACCUAUAAGACUGGGAUAACUUCGGGAAACCGGAGCUAAUACCGGAUAAUAUUUUGAACCGCAUGGUUCAAAGGUGAAAGACGGUCUUGCGGUCACUUAUAGAUGGAUCCGCGCUGCAUUAGCUAGUUGGUAAGGUAACGGCUUACCAAGGCAAGGAUGCAUAGCCGACCUGAGAGGGUGAUCGGCCACACUGGAACUGAGACACGGUCCAGACUCCUACGGGAGGCAGCAGUAGGUAAUCUUCCGCAAUGGGCGAAAGCCUGACGGAGCAACGCCGCGUGAGUGAUGAAGGUCUUCGGAUCGUAAAACUCUGUUAUUAGGGAAGAACAUAUGUGUAAGUAACUGUGCACAUCUUGACGGUACCUAAUCAGAAAGCCACGGCUAACUACGUG
rnacentral:rRNA from 1 species